rnacentral:lncRNA from 1 species
GGCAAGGAGAUUGAGAAAAUGAGGUACCAGAAGGCAUCCAUGGUGCGCAAUAAGGAUGACUGACCUUGAUAAGAAUUUGUACACUUCAAUUCAACUGUAGUUCAACCUUCUAUGACUUUCGGCUCAUAAAUGUAAAUGAAAAUUUGAAGGCCAAAAGUGUAGUUGUGUGUUGAGGUGCCUUUUUGACCUAUAAUCAUGUCAUGCUCAGCUUCGGUCAUUUCUCAGGGUAAUUCAAAUUGCUAGAGGUGAAACUCCAGGUCAGUACCUACUAAACGGUUAGAAUGUAGCGUAACAAGAAUAUUUGUUUUUCUUCCAAAACUCAGAAAUAUAAUUGAGCUUUGUUAAGCAAGAAGGUAGAUUAUUUGAUUCUGGUAGUGAUUUAUGCAAAAAUUUGAAUGAUAAUGUUACUACUGUGUAUUAGUUUUCUUCCCUUAUGUUAAUGCAUCCUGCUUUCACUAUUUCCAUUAAGAAGAGCGUGCCUUGGAUUCUCACUUUGUUUCUUUCUCUGUUUUCUAACCCAACCCAAGUAAAACUACAAUGCUUCUUAUCUAUAGCCUUGUCGUAAUCAUGUAUAUUGUUUUCGUUUGAUUUAUUCAAUCUUAUGACUAUAAAUAAAGGGUGAAUCGCCUCCCUAUAUUUACGUCACAAGAAUUCCUAUAAAUUGAGUUCUGCUCAAGCUGCUAGACUACCGCAGCUUACCCAAACCAAAGUUUCACACAAAACUGAUACCAUGGGGAAUCAAAAGUUCAUUUCACCACUUUUCUUCUUCUCAUAUUUGUGCAUGCAUGCCUUUGUUCUUAACUCAUGUCUUAGUUUGGCCCUCGCCAGAUCAAACGGGACAGAAAACUGGCGUUGCUUGAAUUGAAGGCUAGGAUAACUACAGACCCUUUUGGAGUCAUGAGUUCGUGGAACGAAACAAUCCACUUUUGCCAAUGGCACGGUGUUACCUGUGGUCACCGCCACGAGAGGAUCACAAUGUUGACGCUGAGGUCCUUGAAGCUUGGAGGCUCUAUAUCGCCACAUGUUGGAAAUUUGAUUUAUCCCCAGAAUUAAUUCAUAUGUCUUCUUCAUAUGUUUAUUUGGAUUUAUCUCGAAAUCAUUUGAUUGGCUUUCUUCCCAUGGAAGUCAGACAAUUGAUAAAUCUAGAGCAUUUUGACGUUUCUGGAAACCUGUUGUCUGGUGAAAUUCCUCCAAGUCUUGGAAGUUGUAAAACCAUACACUAUCUUGACUUGCAAGAAAACUUCUUCCAAGGGACAAUUCCAUCUGAUUUGAGCUCACUAAGAGGUAUUGAAACCUUAUCUCUCGCUCACAACAACUUGUCAGGGACAAUUAUGAAAUUCUUGGAGAAUUUUACAUUUUUGCAAUCCUUGAAUCUGUCUUAUAACAAUUUAGAGGGAGCAGUACCUAUCGAAGGAGUUUUUCGGAAUGCAACUGCCACAUUAGUCCAAGGGAAUACAAAGCUCUGUGGGGGCAUACCAGAGUUUCAAUUGCCAAAAUGCGAAUUUCAACAUUCCAGCAAAAGGGGGUUGAGCCUAACCUUGAAACUAGUAAUUUCUCUCCUUUGUGGGCUUUCUGGAGCCUUUUUUUCAUUUGCCGUUUUGUACCCUUGUUGCUUCCGGAGUAAAAAAAAGGAGGAUCCUUCGAGUGAUUCUGAAAAAUUUCCAAAGGUGUCUUACCAAAGUCUUCUUAAAGCGACUGAUGGAUUCUCUUCUGCCAAUUUGAUUGGUAUGGGAAGUUUUGGGUCAGUUUAUAAAGGAUUACUUGAUCAAGGUGAAACAACAAUUGCUAUCAAGGUACUCAACCUUGAUCGACACGGAGCUUCCAAAAGUUUCAUUGCUGAGUGUGAGGCUCUGAAAAAUAUUAGACACCGUAACCUUGUGAAGGUAGUUUCGGCAUGCUUUGGAUUCGACUAUUGUGGUUCUGAUUUCAAGGCCUUAAUUUACGAGUUCAUGGUGAAUGGGAGCUUAGAUGAAUGGUUGCAUCCAGCUCAGACAAGUAUUGAUAUGAAUCAGAUGCCAAGAAGCUUAACUUUUUCGCAGAGGUUGAACAUUGCGAUAGAAGUUGCAAUGGCAUUGGAUCAUCUCCAUUAUCAGUGUCACAUGCCAAUAGUUCAUUGUAACCUCAAACCCAACAAUGUUCUUCUUGACUAUGAUAUGAUUGGACAUGUAGGUGACUUUGGGUUGGCGAGAUUCCUUCCAAGAACUCUUGAAGAUGGUUUUGGUAAUCAGUCAAGCUCCAUCGGAGUUAAAGGAACAAUCGGUUAUACUCCUCUAGGUAAAACGUACACUUUCUUUUCACUUUUUUCAGUAUUCAUUUAUAAUUUAGAUUUUUUUAUGUAUUAAAAUAAAAACAUUUGCACAAAUGUAGAGUAUGGCAUGGGGCAUGAAGUGUGGCCACAAGGUGACGUGUAUAGUUACGGCAUCCUCCUGCUGGAAAUGUUUACGGGAAAAAGGCCAACUGGUGACAUGUUUCAAGGAUUUUCAAAUCUUCACAACUAUGUCAAGGCAGCUCUGCCUGAGCUGGUGUUAGAUAUUGUAGAUCCGGUUCUUAUUCAAGAAAAAGGGGAGGGGAGCUGAGUGCAAACCAGCAUCUAACUGCGGCUAGCACAACAAUUCGCAGGAAAAUUGAAGAGAGCUUGAUUUCAGUCUUAGGAGUUGGUGUUGCAUGCCCCGCAGACAUGUAUGGGGAAAGAUCGGGCAUCGUUGAUGUUGUGGCUGAGAUGUGUCAGAUCAGAAACAGACUUCGAGCAGAUAAAAUGUUGGAUUAGAAUAAGCGCACUGUUAAGUAUUAGCAUGUACGUAAUAAUCUUGUUUCCUUAUGUGGAAGUCGAAGUUCUCAUAUUUGCUUGAUAAAUAAAAACUGUAUAGUUGAUGACCUUUCUGACGAACUUCAAUCCAUUUACUACUUCGUAUUGUUGAGCUAUACUUAUAUGCAUUUCCAUGAUGAGAUUUUUUUUGCAUGGAGGGCUCUACUUCAAUGAGGUUUUCUCCACAGACAUAGCUACAUACAUUGUGAUAACUCAGUUUGGGGAAGAUAGGAAGAGCAGAUUUAGUGAGUUCUGUCCCGGGUAGGCUAAUGAAGUUGCUAAUGAAGCCGGGUGAUUAUUGAAGCAAGUUGAGAUUCCAUCAUAAUAUCAAUUAGCAUCGUUGGCAAUUGCCCAAAUUCUUAUUAGCACAUGCACCCUUGAUUAAUGCGACAGGGAAAGCUAGCCGGAUUAAUUGAAGAAGAGUGGUGCAGAAAAUGCUUUCCAAAAGCACUACCUCGUUAAUGGUUGACUUAAAAAUCAACCCGGGCAAGAAAUUUUCCAACACUAAGGGUGUGUUUGUUUGAUAUUAUUAAGGGUGAUUGGCUUAACUGGGACUUGGGACAUGUUUGGCGCAGGUUGGGAUUAAAGUAAAUGAGACUACGGCCCUCGCUAACGCAUCACUACGAAUCCCGUGCUCCACCAUGGGAUUGCUAGGACCCCCUAUAAUCCUGUCUUCGGCAUCAUCAACUAAUGCGCGCCCCGUCGCCCAAAUCGACCUCGUCGCCAACUCCAACACCUCGCCAACGCCUCGUGCUGGAAAUUUUCUUGCCCGCCGAUUUCCAAUAUGUUGAGAAAAAACCCAAAAACCCUAGAUCCCCAAAUUGAAAUUUGAAAUAUGAACAAACAGAAAUCGCAGCCCAACACGUCAAGAAGAUGUUCAGCUUCAAGAGAUUGGGGUGUUUGGAAUUGAAUUGAUCACUUCAAAAUGAUGUUUAGUUGUGCUCUAUCAACAACUAUUCCUAGUUUGAAUCUUGUCUCGAAAUUGACUAUAGUUAUCCUGUAGAACAUCUACAAACAAAUUACUAACACAUCUUGAAGAGAUUGGGGCUUUUGCGAUUGAAUCGCACUAGAUGAUUGGAUUCCAUUGAAGAGAUUGGAGACGGUGGUUGGGAUUUUUGGAAGCAGAGAAAAUAAAAGGUUAAUAUCAGUGAAGAAGAAGAGCAGAGAAUAGCUUUUGUGAAUGCAAUGAGAUAAAAAGAUUAUAAAACUGAAAUUAAAAAAUUAUAGAAGUGAAUAAAAAAUAGCAAAAUAUUUAAUCUGUCACUUUAGUCCGACACUGCACCAAACGUUUCACUAAGCUAGUCCAGUUUAGUCUAGUCUAAGCCAGUCCAGCUUAGUCCUUACAACUAGUCUAGUUCGAGACAGUCCGAUGCAACAAACGCACCCUAAGAGAACUAUUGGGGUUUAUUUUUUCUUCCACCAAUGAAAGUUGGAAUUAGAUACAAAACUAUUUAGAAAGACAAUAUCAAAGUUACUAUUUUGCAAUGUACAAAAUUAAAGUAAUGUUUUGUAGGCUUGGCAUACUGGAUCAAACAUUUAAGUGCGCACAAUCACUGUUUUAGUUUGACAACUUGACAAUAUAACAUACUAGACUAUCUAAAAAACAGAUGAUUUACUUACAAAAUCGAUCCCUUUUUUUUUUCUUGGGUGUUUAUUAGGGCUGGGUUCGGUUCAAAAUGGUUCGGUUUUUUGCCAAAACCGAAACCGAACCGAAAUUUCAGUUUGGUUCCGUUCGGUCCAUUUUUUUUCGGUUUCGGUUUUUUUCGGUUUUUUUUUUUUCAAUGAUGUAAAUGGAAGGAAUAAAUCUCCCAGUUCUCAUAUAUCAAUGGAGCCUGCUCCGCCCAUCAUCGUCUUCCAUUACCUCUUCUACAUCACAAAUCUCUAAUCCUUUAGUUAAGACUUUUCUAGCCUCUUCCCAAUUUUUUCUUCUCCAAAAGUACAAAUCAUACAACUAUUCCAUCAUAAACAAAAUAAGAGACGCAAAAGAAUUUAAUUCCCUUUUUAAGACUACACAGAGGAAGAACCAUAUGAAAAUCCCAAUGGGUCUUUGCUAAAACUUUACAACAAACCGAAAACUUGAACUCAACAAUUUUAGGUACUAACCUUUCACCUUCAUGCAUUUUCUCACUAACCAAACAUAUACAUUUUCUCACCUCAAAAUCCCGAAUAUAUUCAAGUAAUUCAACUACUUAUGAUCAAGCAGAUCGAGUUCAAAUUUUCAAAACUUAAGCAAAUACAGAAACAUAUAUUCUUCAAGUACAUCGCCAGGAUUCAAAAUUCUAAAAAUUUAAAAUUUACAAAAUCAUGAAAUAAUUCAACAAAUUAAGAUGCAGAUCGAAACAAAAAAAAAGCAAAUAGGUUCGUCUAAAUGUCAUAAUCGGACUCCAAUAUCGCAUGCCCAGUGCCCACAUUCAAAUUCCUAGUCAAGUCCACAAUAGAUCUAGAAAAUUCCGAAACAUAUUAAAAGAAAAAUACAAACUUUUUCACCUUAAAUUACAUAAAUUUCAAGUGGGUAACCAUAAAAUCGCCAUGAUCAUAAAAUUAAAAACCCAUGAACUGACAAAUAAAUAAAACCCACAACCUUUGCUGCAGCGAAAUCGCCAUGAUCAUCGCAAGCUCUAACAGUUCCUCUUUUCGUCGAGUCUCGAAAGGGGCGAGGGAAAAUCAUGAUUUGGAAGAAGGAAUCCGUGAGGAGGACAUGAGAAGACUAGAGAGAAAGUGAUUUGGAGGAAGAGAGGAAGGAGAGGGAGAGGGAAAGAGAGAGACUGAGGAAGCAGCGGAUGGAAGAAGUGUUUGAGAUCUGAAAUGAAAUGGGAGUGAGACGGCUAGGGUUUGUAAAGUUAAGAAAUUUUAUAAAGCAUUAAACAUAAGAAACCUAUAAAUAUAUUACUGGUACGAUUACAACAACACAAAGCCUACAGUUAAGUUGGCUAGCAGCACUUUACCCCAACUCGCAGGUCAGGGGUACAAACCUUGACGCGGCCAACAUGUUUUUUUAGUAUUUAUAUAUGAUUUUUUUUUUCGGUUCGGUUCGGUUUCCGGACCUCAAAAACCGAAACCGAACCAACCAGAUUCGGUUCGGUUCAGUUUGGCAAUUUCAGUUCGAUUUUUUUUCGGUUCGGUUUUUUUCGGCCUCGGUUCGGUUUGGUUUUCGGUUCGGUUUUGAACCCACCCCUAGUGUUUAUGAAGCCGGGUGGUUUUUGAAGCAAGUUGAGAUCCCAUCAUAAAAUCAAUUAACAACAAAGAAAAUAGCCCAAAUUCUUUUAAGCACAUGCACCCUUGAUUAAUGCGACAAGGAAGGCUGGUCGGAUUAAUUGACAAAGAGUGGCGCAGAAAAUAUUUUCCAAAAGCACUAGCUCAUUAAUGGCUGACUUAAAAAGCAACCCGUGCAGGAAAUUUUCCAACACUAGGAGAAUUAUUGGGGUUUAUUUUUUCUUCCACUAAUGAAAGUUGGAAUUAGAUACAAAACUAUUUAGAAAGAUAAUAUCAAAGUUACUAUUUUGCAAUGUACAAAAUUAAAGUAAUGUUUUGUAGGCUUGGCAUACUGGAUCAAACAUUUAAGUGCGAACAAUCAAUGUUUUAGUUUGACAACGUGACAACAUAUCAUUCUAGACUAUCUAAAAACCAGAUAAUUUACUUACAAAAUUGAUCUUUUUUUUUCUUUUCUUGGGUGUUUAUGAAGCUAGGUGGUUAUUGAAGCAAGUUGAGAUUUCAACAUAAAAUCAAUUUGCAACAUAGAGAAUAGCCCAAAUUCUUAUAAGCACAUGCACCCUUGAUUAAUGCGACAGGGAAGGCAGGCUAGAUUAAUUGACAAAGAGUGGCGCAGAAAAUAUUUUCCAAAAGCACUAGCUCGUUAAUGGCUGACUUAAAAAGCAACCCGUGCAGGAAAUUUUCCAACACUAGGAGAAUUAUUGGGGUUUAUUUUUUCUUCCACUAAUGAAAGUUGGAAUUAGAUACAAAACUAUUUAGAAAGAUAAUAUCAAAGUUACUAUUUUGCAAUGUACAAAAUUAAAGUAAUAGUUUUGUAGGCUUGGCAUGCUGGAUCAAACAUUUAAGUGCGCACAAUGUUUUAGUUGACAACGUUACAACAUAAAUAUGCUAGAUUAUCUAAAAAAAAUGAUUUACUUACAAAACCGAUCUUUUUUUUUCUUGAGUGUUUAAGAAAAUAAAACGCUUCAAAGUUCAAACUCUUUUUCUAUAUAAAACUUGCGUUAGCAGAUGUAAGAAUAGAGAAAGACUUGGCUGUCACCAGAGUUAUGACACAUGCAAGAAUUUGCUGAGAAAAGAGUGUGAAGAAAACUAGUGGGAUUAUGAUAGAUGUUGAUAUCCAUCUUAUCUCCACACUAGCCAAUCCUCUUAGUCAAGGAAUUCCACUAAUGCUUUCCUAGUCAGUUUUUUAUUUUUGUUUAGAAAAAUGAUAAAUACACACCAUUUUUAGCAUCUCACACACUAAUAUUUAAUUAUGUUUAUUAUUUUUGUUUUAUAUAUGUAGUCUGAUGGCUAGAAAUAAAGAGUGUGGAAAUCACCCACCUACAUUGAAGUCAAGAUGCAUGCUUACAAAUUGGGUUAUUUUCAAGAUGCUAGACAACCACAGCUUACCCAAACAAAAGUUUGACACGAAACAGAUAUCAUGGGACUUUAGAAAACUGCAAACUGCUUUUGAUACUAUUUUCCAGCAUAUUCGGCUUUUCUCCUAAUCUUACCAACCUUUUAAUCUCAACCAUUCAUGUACAUCCUAUGCAGUGGCGGAUCCAGGAAAUAAUGUUUGGGGGGUCAACAAGGAUAGCGCGCGCAGCGCGAAAUUUUUUUUUAACAGAAACGACAUGCAUAUCGUAAUUUCAUCGGGUCUUGGUAAGAUAGCGUGAUCAGCCUCUCGCCGAUAGUUACCAUACUGAAAGGUGCCUUCACUUUCCCUGACAACCAAAAAUACCACAACUAAUCAGCAUCAAUGUAAUCUGAGAUCUCAAAUUGAAAAAAAAUGCAAACUUUGCAAGUACGAACAGUAUGAUACCAAAAAUACCACAACUAAUCAGCAUCAAUGUAAUCUUAUACAAACGUGUUUAUAGCAGGUUCUAUGCUGAAAGCUAGCUGCUUGCCAUGAAAUUAUUUUGGAGAAGUCAGACCCUGAAGAAGAAGACACCUAAACCGCCAAUUUCAUCGGGUCUUGUUAAUCACUUCAACUAUAUAUUUUAUGUAUAAAAUGGCUCCGACAAGUUGUUGUACAUAUCUUAGUAUUAUAUGGAAACUGUCAAAUUUACCUGAAAAAGGAUUUCUCUUCCAUUGCGCACUGCUGCACAGGGGCGGAUGAAAUGACGAUGCGCAAUUACCAUUACAGACCUUCGGCGUGCACAUCUCUACCUGCUAAGAAAAUACAGAAACAUUCUUACUUGACUGAAGUAAAAUUUAACAAGAACAAAGCUACUUGUUUCAUUCGUUAUAAUUAUUGGAACACCUCAUACUAAACAUACAUAUUUUUUCGGAAUUGCAUGAACUGUGUGAUUUCCUUGUCGCAUGAAGGUCAUCCUUCUGCUGAGGCCUCGCAUGAAGGUCAUUCUUCUUCCUCUUCCUGCACUGCAGUGCCAAGCUUCGUUCAGAACAUUUGUCGAACACUUGGCGUGCGACUCCGACCCCGACUACCCCAGCUCCAAGAGGUCGCGUAUGGGAGCUUCAAGGUUGUUUCCAUGGUUUCCAAGGGGUCGUCAGACCCCGACGACCCCACUGUGGAUCCGCCUCUGAUCCUAUGGUUACUUCAUAGUAGUUUAUAAUUUUUUUUUCAUUGUAGUUUAUAAUUUUUUUUUCUCUUAAAAGCAAUUAUUUGGGGUGAAAUUCUGAAAUUAAUAAAGGAAAAGAGGUAAAAUCGGCCAUAGUGCAGCCAUUGGAACUCUAAACGAUGAUGCUAUUAGGUUCUCCAGACGAUAGUUAGGUUUCUUCAAUGCCGAUUCAUUCUUCUUGUUUAACCUCAGAACACAGAAAAAAUGUGCUAUUUGGAAUUCAAAAGCAAUACGAAUUUGGCGUAGGGUGAAUUCAAGAUCGUACUUAUAUGUUAUCAGAAUCGGGAAGGCAUAUUAGAUUCUCAUGUAAGAUUUCGUUAAUUUUGUCUCUUAUUUAUUUCUUUUUUGAAAGGAAAACUUGUAUGUUCUAGAGCAGACCCAUUUGGUCUUGACUCCUGCAAGGUCUUAUCUAUGAAAUAUCAAAGUAUUAGGAUUAGAUUCAAAGGAGAGGGGAAAACCAUGAUACAGAAGGCUUACUUUAUGUUCCUUUCCCCUAAUGAUCCGAACUCUUAUUGAGUACAAAGUUAACGCAACCAUCCAAUAAGGUUUAAAAGUAAGAAUGAAAGUUUAUUUGUUUAGAAUAGAGAAGGUUAUGAAUCGAGAAAGUUGGAAAUAAGGAAGAGAAAGAAGAGAUAACAUGGGGUCUUUACUUGGGCUUACUUGGGCACAUGUGAGACUCUGCAGUUACGGUUCAUUUGGUGUUACAGCUGCUGACAAUAAUCAUCCUUUUGGUUCUCUUGUUUUGGCUUGCCGAGAAUUGCUUUUAGGACAUUGGCAAUGUGAACUUCGACAUGUCCAUAAAGAAAAGAACUUUGUGGCAAAUAGUUUAACAACUUAUACUCUUGAUUUAUAUUUAGGUAAUUUCUAUUUUGAUACUCCUCCUUCUUGUUUAGUUAGUUUCAUCUGUGAGGAUCGACUUGGGAUGUCCUAGUCUAAAUUUUUUAUCGAGUAAGUUUGUUUGGACUAUUACUUUUAGCCUCGUUUUUCAAAUACAUGAAUAAAUAACUAACAACGAAAUAAAUUAAAAAGGUGUGUAAAUAAACAUCCCUUGGAUUAUAUUGGGUGAAAUGGGUGGAGAGACCCAAACAACAAUCUGGGCCGAGUGGUUAUUGAAGUAAGUUGAGAUUCCAUCAUAAAAUCAAUUAGCAACAUAAAGAAUAACCCAAAUUCUUAUAAACACAGGACCCAUGAUUAAUGUGAAAGGGAGGGCUAGCCGAAGUAAUUGGCGAAGACUGGCGCAUAAAAUAUUUUCCAAAAGCACUAGCUCGUUAAUGGUUGACUUAAGAAGCAACCCGUGCAAGAAAUUUUCAAACACUAAGAGAAUUAUUGGGGUUUAUUUUUCCUUCCACUAAUGAAAGUUCGAAUUAGCUAGAUACAAAACAAUUUAGAAAAUUAAAGUAUCAAAGUUACUAUUUUGCAAUGUACAAAAUUAAAGUAAUGUUUUGUAGGUUUGGCAUACUGGAUCAAAUAUUUAAGUACGCACAAUCACUGUUUUAGUUUGACAACGUGACAACAUAACAUGCUAGACUAUCUAAGAAAAAAAUGAUUUACUUAAAAAAUUGAUCCUUUGUUUUCAUGAGUGUUUAUGAAAAUAAAACGCUCUAAACUCUUUUUCUAUAAAUAGCUUGCGUUAGCACAUGUAAGAACGGUGAAAGGCUUGGCUGUCACUGGAGCUAUGAGAAAAGAGUGCGAAGAAAACUACUGGGAUUAUGAUAGAUGUUGAUGUCCAUCUUAGCUCUACACUAGUCAACCCUCUUAGUCAAGGUAUUCCAUAAUGCUUUCCUAGUCUGUUUUUUAUAUUUGUUUACAAAAAUGAUAAACAUAUUUUAAUCUUCUUAUUUAAGUGUGAUUGUGUAAAUCCUAGAUUAGAUUAGAUUUUUGUUAUUCUUUCCUAUUAGGACUUAUAUUCCUUGGAGGAGAAGGAUUUAUUCUCUCUCUUCUUACUAUAAAUAAAGGCACUGUAUAGGGGAAAUAACACAUCCUCUACACAACCCUACAAACACAUCUCUCUCUGUAUUUUCUCUGUGUUGCCGGCCUCCUCUCCUUGUCAGUGAAAUAUAGGUCACAACAUGUUAUCAACACGUUCCUACUGCUGUGCUUAGGAAUCUGACGUGGAAGUUUUCGACAUCAAACUAGUUCACCAAUAUCAUCACGCAAUCAGGUUCUUUCAAAACAAUGGUUUUUAUCUCGAUAUUUUUGCAUUCCUGAUAGCAUGAACAUUCACCAUAAUGCAUGACCCAACUUUAUCGAAUUUUAGAUUCUACAUAAAUUGUGUAUGCAUUAUAUCCAUAAUUAUCAAAUUAUGUGAAUUGAUAUUGCCAUGAAUUGCAUCAUAUAUAUGCUCAUGCAUUAAAUUAUAUGUUGAAUUAAUCUGAAAAAAAAAGAUUUGUAAAGUCCUAACAUCGCCGGCUGCAUGCAGCGCCGUCGUGCAAGUCGCCAGCACUAGGCUAGUAGCCUUCAUCGGCUUGGCAAGCCCAGCCCAGCCAUGGAUUACAAGGCAAUAAGCCCAGAACCAAAUGGUGCAUUUUAGGCACCAUCACCCCCAUCUGAAACCUUCAGCCUGAAGCCCAGGUCCCAUAUGUAGAUUUUUUGGACGAAAACACGACUGGCAAUCGUGUGAUUUGGACAAAACUCAUCGUUUUCACCAACGAUCUUUGAACUUCAAGAAGAAUUUUGUGAGUUUUUCAUAGGAUUCACUCGAAUCCCUUCGGUUCUCAUUACCCCUGAAGUUGAGGUUCAACCUUCGUUGUCAAAUUUUGGUUUUCCAAUGAACCAUGUCUUGCACCGACCAUGGAACUCUGCCUAAAGCGGGGCCGUUGACCAUCUCCGAUGAAUCCCCACACCUAGUGCUGCUGGCGUGGCAUGCAGAUCCAAACUUAAGCCCUAACGAGCCUCAAAUUCCUUUGGUCCAUCUCGCACAACACCUUUUUGUUGGGCUUGCUUGUGCCUAUCUCCUUGAUCCACAUCACUAACCCUUUGGGCUUUGAUGAUAACCUGGCCCGAAAACCAGUUGAGCUCUUCUGGGCUCUUGCUGUCUUUCCUAUGCGCUGCGUCACACAGAAUCACAACUUCUGCUAGUGUAUGUGUGUUUGUGCCGCACCGAAUCCCAGCUUUGUUGGGGUAUCCGUGCUCUCCAUCGUACCUGAUCAGCGCUCUAUUUGGGCCUAUUCUUUGGGCCCAGCCUUCUUGCAACCCCUUUUUUCUACCUUGGGCCUGCAGCCUAAAUUUAUUUUGGGUACUAAUUUGCCUGUGGCUAACCCCAGCCCAGUUUUUUGGGCCUAGACCUCACAAUUCUCAAUUUGCUCAGCCUACCUGUGGGUUCUGGCCUAUUAUUUUAGGCCUUGAGUUUAAAUGCCUAUUUUUUUAGGCCUUUGGAUUUCAUAAUUUUUUUUACCCACACCUUAAAUUUGGCCCGAAGUCCAAAUAAUUAAUUUAAUUAUAAUUAUAGAUGUGAAGUUCUAUUUGCAUAUUUUCUUGUUGCAUAUUUCUGUAUAUAUAUUUGUGUUUGUCUACAGGGACAUAUGAACUUGAAGUUCAUAAUUAUUUUGAAACCUGAAGUUUCUAGAAACAUGCCUUGUUUGAAAACCUGAAGUUUUUCUUAAAAACAUCACCCAUGAAAACCAGAAGUUUUUUUUUUCAUGCGAAUUUAAACCAAUACAUGUCUAUUAAAACCUGAAUGUUUUACUCUUAUGUGAAUGGAUUGAUUUUUUUCUCCAUUACACUAACGACAUCUUAUCCAUUUAUUUUGUGAUAGGAAUAUGUCGAAUUUGAAUGAAUUCGACUUCACCGCUUUGGAGGUCUAUGUAAGAAGCUACUUCAAGUGGGUCCAAGAUGUGAAGCUUAACCUCAUUGCAAAGAAUUUGCAUCCAACCAUUGAAGACAAGACGGACAACCCGAUUGGCGAAGCUGAGAAAGCCACUGCCAUGAUCUUGAUUCGAAGACACAUUCAUGAUGCACUGUAAACUGAGUACCUUGCUGAGGAGGAUCCACAAGCACUCUAGGUUGCUUUGGCUAAUCGUUUUCAUCACCAAAAGGACAUCUUCUUGCCUGAAGCAUGACAUAACUGGUAGCACUUGCGCUUCCAAGACUUUAAGUCGGUGAAUGAAUAUAAUUAUGAAGUUUGUAGAAUCCGAUCACUUCUCAAGUUCUGUAACGAAACCUUGACCAAAGAAUAUCUCUUGGAUAAGACCUAUUCGACCUUCUCUGCUACUAAUAUUGUCCUGUAGCAACAAUAUAUGGCUAAGAAGUUCACUAAGUUUUCGAAUUUGAUCUCUGUUUUACUUUUCGCUGAAAAGCAGAAUAAGUUGUUAAUGAAAAAUCAUCAAGCUCGACCUACUGGGGCCACUGUUAUGCCUGAAACACAUUAUAACACAAACCAACACCAAUGGUAGAGGUGGCCAGAAGCUACCUCGUCAAGGUCAACAGAGCCAAAGCCCAUCUAAGGGAAGAAAUCAAGCCCAUAAGCGCCCUAACCUCGCUCCCAAGGCUCCAAACUUCAAGAAUAAGGGCAAAACACCUGAAACCACGGAUGCGAGCAUGUGCUAUCACUAUGGUUCAAAUGACCAUUGGUUCCGUGUUUGCCAAGCUCCCCAGAAGGUUGUAGCUGAAUAUCAUUCUCGUCGUAAAAAGUUUGAAUCAAACUUUGUGCAAGUGGAUGAACUGGAAAGUACCAAGAUGGAGGUUUCUGACUUUCAGAAGGAUACCACCCCUAUGGAAGAUUAAAAUCUUAGACAUGAAUGAUUUCUAGUUAAAUUUUAGAAUAAUGGGGCCAAAUUCCACCUAGUGGCCGAACCCCCCUUUGUUUUGGUUUAAUUUUGAACAAUUUUCCUUUAUGUUUGGAUUAUUUGUUGGUGAUUUAUUUUUGGAUAUUAAGUUUUAUUCAUUAUCAUCCUUGAAUACUUGAAUUAUUUUGAAAGGAUAUUUGUUUUAAGAACCUUUAUGCAUGUUGUCACGUCCGGACCCGAAAUCGGUAAUAAAAACUCGAAUCCGAAUCUGAAACGUGAGUUAAAAGUAAAAAUAAAUAAAAGGAAAUUGACACGGGUUGGAAAAAUAAACUCUUCUUAUUAAAAUAACUCCAAAAUCCUUACAGGGUGUACAAAAAUAAUAACUUAAAAUCCUUAAACUUCUCCUCAAUCACAACCUCAACUCUUCUAACACCUGUCUUGCCAAAUAACAUCUGUAAAAUAAUAGGUGAGGGGUGAGCAACAACCACCGUCGCUCAGUGAGUAGAAUAUGAAAUAUGUCAGUCAAGCAAUGCCUUUUUACACACACUAGAAAAUACAAUAAUAAUAUCAAAGCUUUAACCACGUAAUUUCAUAUCAAAUCAUCCCUUUACGUGUUCAUUACAUCCUUCAUAAAUUGUAACUCACCACGUGACCCCUACUGGCCUUUCAACCCUAAUGUCCCCGUGUGCAGUUUACAUUUAUCCCUCGGAUUAAUGCAACACUAAAGUUCUCGUGCUUCAUGAACAUAUCCAAAUAAUCCACAUAUCACCAUAUUAAUGAUUCCAAAGGUACAUCAACAAAUCCAACAUGCUUGACUUAAAAUAGAUAGAGAUUUAUAAAUAGAUAAAACUCAUGAUAGUUUGUGGUUUUCAUUUAUCAGAAAAUAAGAAUAUUUUGAAACACAUUACAUAAACCACUCAACUCGAUAAUCCAAGUUUUGGCAAGACAACCCAACUAACAUCUCCGCACACCUCAAACUAGCUUUCCCUUUUUCUUUUCUUUCUAAGCUCUCACUCCAACGUAUAUAUAAAUAUAUACGCACAACACACACACACACACAUAUAUAUACACACACACACACCAAUCUCUACGUAAUGCAUGCUCUGCAUGUUUCCUUCUUUUUAUGCUCCAAAACCAAUGGAGCAAAGCUCAUAUUUAUAGUGAAAUAGAACGGCUCCAAGACUUGAGGUCCAAGGAAAAUAUACAAUAAAAUAUAUGAAGUCCUAUCCGUAAACUCCUAUGUGUGUAUGAAGGUAAUAAUUUUCUUGCAACACCUAUUGUAGUAUCAAUAUCUUAGUCACUAGUUAUGCAAGGUGUCAAUUGCAUGUGUGCAAAGGAUGACACAUCCAGGUAAAUAGCCUUGUAAAAUCAGCACACUAGAGUGCUUACUAAUCAUGCAUUUCUCUCUCCCAAGAUAAUUAAGACUAGUACUGAUAGGAGCUAGGCACAUGGUAUAUAAUAAUAAUAUCAAAUAUUUACUUUUAAAAUACGGGGUCUUACACAUGUGACUGAUUCAAAUUAAUUUUAUUUCUAUGUAUGAUUAGUGGGAAAGUUAAUUGUCUGGCAUACAGUGCAACCACACACACCAUUUUGCGUGAACAAAUCUAUUUCACUAACUUCAUACCUAAGAAUGCACCUCUAACAACCCUCUUAGGCCUAUCCAACCUGAUUGAAGGAGACGGUAAGACACGUAUAAUGUUGUCCAAUGGUACAAUUUUGAUAAUUGAUGAGGCACUCUAUUCUCCACGUUUCGGAAGAACAUUUUUGAGUUUCAAGGACAUUAGAGAUAAUAAUUACCACACUAAAACCUACGUAGAAAAUGGAGUUGAAACCAUGUGUAUCACUUUCUAUGAAUAUGGCUAGAAGCAUAUUCUGGAGAAGAUGGAACGUAUCCCGAGUGGUUUGUAUGCUACAACCAUAUAUCCUAUAGAAAGCCACUAUGUGGCCGGCCAUACCUCUGGGACCGGGCAUGAGAUUACACUUUGGCAUGAUCGUUUGGGACACCCUGGACGAACAGUGAUGCGCCGUAUCCUCAAAUCAUCACACGGGCAUCCACUAACCUGAAGUUUAGGUAAUUCAAGGAAUCACAUGUCAAACCUGCUCUAUGGGAAAACUCAUUAUUAAGCCUUCUUAUGACAAAUUCGUUCGAAUCCUCCUAUUUUUCUAUAAAGGAUUCAGGGGGACAUUUGUGGACCGAUUGACCCUCCAUGCUGACCAUUUAGAUAUUUUUUUGUUUUGGUUGACACUUCCACAAGUUGAUCACACGUGUGCUUGUUGUCCAUAAAGAAUGUUGCAUUCUUUAAGCUGUUGGCUCAUGUUAUCAAGAUCAGGGCUCACCUUGAUUAUCCGAUCAAAUCUAUUCGAUUGGACAAUGCCAGAGAAUUCACAUUUAAAACUUUUGAUGACUAUUGCCUGUCGAUUGGGGUUGAAGUUGAACAUCUAAUACCCCAUGUGCACACCCAGAAUGGCCUGGUAGAGGCAUUCAUUAAACGCUUAUAAAUGAUUGCUCGAUCGUUGGUCCUAUGUACCAAGCUCCCGAUCGCUGAAUAGGCCAUGCAAUAUUGUACGCAGCCAUAUUGUUCUCCUGAGGCCUAUUGCAACCCAACCAUAUAGCACCCUUUAGUUGGUUACUAGAUACGAACCCGACAUAUUGCAUCUACACGUUUUUUUGUUGUAUGGUCUAUGUGCUGAUUUCACCGCUCUUACGUACAGAUAUAGGGCCUCAACGAAGAAUGGGAAUCUGUUUCGAAUAUGAUUCUCCUACAAUCAUUCAUUACGUAGAACCUUUGACAGACGAUCUGUUUAACGCUUGUUUCGGGGAUUAUCAUUUCUAAAAGACAGUAUUCUUGUCGUUAGGGGGAGAUAAGAACGUCAACGUUCAUGAAGAAUGACGUGAAUUAUCAUGGACGACUCCCACUUUGUCUCAUUUAGAUUCUUGCACUGCUCAAUUUGAUACUGAAAUGUAGCGCAUAUUAGAUCUUUAGGGCAUAGCUCAGAGCAUGAUAGAUGCUUUCACUGAUAUAGCGCGAGUGACAAUAUCACAAAUUCCAGCUGCGAAUGUGCCUGCAAAUAUGGAUGUACCAAAUGUACAACGAACUUACCUCGUGGAGGCCUAGGACGCCACUUUGGCCGAUCCACGUACAUUAGUAGCUAGCCAAUCAUCUGCUCUUACACACAAGCAUGGUAUAUCACUUGGUUCAAAUGAUUCACACCCCCAGAAGAGGAAACCCAAGGAACUGGCCCCUGAAGAGCCUUCCGUGAAUCCGACUGUUGCCUACUUAUUUUGUUUAACUCAUAACGAAAUUCUAGAUUACGAAAGCGUCCUUGAAGAGACGAAUCUACCCCCCGAGAAUCGUGAGAUUUCAGUCCAUUAUGCUAGCUUGGAUGAUGUUUAUUGUAGAAAUGAGAUGAUUAUCAACAAUGCAUUCACAUAUACAGUAGCUACUGAGAUCAUGUUGAGCGAUGACAUUGAACCCUGUUCUUCAGAGGUAGUCUCAGAGCCUUCUGGGCAAUGGCUAUGAGUUGAGCAUGGUUAAUGGGGAACUGGCAUCUCAUCUCGGUCUUCCUAAACCUCAUCAUAAAAUCCUCUGUGGACUUAUGUUCAUAUUGCUUCACUUCCACCAAAUCAUUAAUGGUCAUCUCAGGUUCCACCCUAUAGACUUGCUCAUGAAAAGACAUCUCCAUUUGCCCCCAGUUAGCAAUGGAAUUAAGGGAUAACAGAGAGUACCAUUGGAAGCCAAUCCCACUAGCGAGUUCCCAAACAAUCUCAUUUUGUAGUUGGGGUUGUCCUCGAACGCCACACAGUGAUUUAAAAAUUUGAAAAUGUGAUAUCUGGAAGAUACAUUACAGUCUUCUUUGCUGAAAGUUGGGAACGUGGGCAUUUUGAAAUUGAGAAGGAAAAGAUUUUGCUCAUCAACAUACUCAGGAUAAGGCUUCUGAUAUGUUAUUCUAAACAUCGGGCGGGCUUGAGGUUGAGCAUUAUGUACCACCAUCCUUCUUAACUCUGCCAAAUCAUUCCUGAGUUGUUGAUUGGCCAUAUUAUUAUGUGGGGGAUAGGAAGUCCCCCACUUCGGGCCAUGGUCAAUGCCCAAGAAAGCUUCUCUCUGUAUGUUAGGCUGCCUUCAUCUAACUUCUCAUUCUCCUUUAUUAGCUAAUGGUGGUGGCCUGUAAGGAUGAAGUUUUCCCCCAGCAGUGGAUAAACAUUUCCCACUUGUUUCUCCAACCGAGUUAGAUGCACCGAUCUUUGGUAUUUCUUGCUCGAUUUGCCUCUUAACAUUUGGUGGUGGUGGGAGAAAAUCAGGCAAGCCUAUCUCUUGAAACUCCACAUUAGGGUCUUCUUGAUGAUUUUCUUAAGCCCAUUCCUUCUUUUUUCCUUUGUUCUUUAAUUCUUCAAGUAAGGGAAACUAAGGAACUGCUAGCUCUUUUUCUAGGCUCGUCUCCACGACUCCUUCAUUGGCUUAGCCAUCUUUGUCGUGGAGUAUUCUAACUCCAACUUUCUUUGUAGCAUUCUUGUUAAAGAACACAGCCUGCUAACCUUUCGUCUGGUUUCUAGAGAAAUCUUCUCCAAACUUUUCAAUACUUGCAUCAUGGUGGCUUGCAAAUCUUCAUUAGUGACCUUUCCACCCGACUUCUCAGAAAAGGUCAGGCUUUCUAUGAUCCCAGGGUCGUGUGGUGAAGGAAAGUCUUAUGGGUGAUCAUGUCUACUUUUGGCGGGCAAAGAGGUUGCCCAAAUUCUACAUUCCACCUGAAUGUUCAAUCUUUUGUUCGUCUUCGUAUACAAUACUACAAACUAUAUCCCACUGGGCGUGCCAAAAUUAUGGGUUGUUUUUUGUUGUGAAAUUGUUUGAUUGAAAGAGUUCUGUAAAAAAGAGGUGAAACGCUACUCAAUACCCGGUAUGUCUAUCUGUACAUGAUUUUGGGGGUUUUGUGAGAGACUAGGAAUUAUGCGAGCAUUUGGUUUUUAUUUAUGAGAUUUCUGAACAAAAUUAUAAAUACUUUAGAGAUUGGGAGACAAAACCCACAAAUUCAAAUCAGACCAAAAAUAAAUAAAAAUUUAACGACUUAAAGAUCAAACUCCAAAAGGGUAUUAAAUACAAGGCUUAUUUGAUCGAUUGGAUGUGAAAGUUUUGAGCUUUAAAGAAGCAAAGGAUGAGAGUUUUUAACCAAGCACAAUCAUCCAUGUCUUAGGAUGUUAAUUCCUUUGUACCGAAAAAGAAAUUACUUGGGAAGCAGAAAGUUGCCACUUUUAUUAUUUAAAUGACAGUAUGCAGGAAAAAUCCUUUUUUGAUGCCAUAUACAGAGGAGUUGAUUACACUACAGUAUUCUAUAACUAGCUUUGAAAAACAACUUUAAGCUUUGAUUAUGUGUUCUCAUAACCUCCUGCUCUGUAAACGAUCUGUGUCCCAUUACGCCUCAAGAUUUGUGCUUGGUUUUCUUUGUCUGGUUCUGUAUCAAAAUUGGUGUAAUUUGUUUGUAAGAAUCGGGUGAGAGUGGUAAUGGAUUAUAGUGAAAUUUGAGAGAGUUGGAGUGGAUUAUAGUGAGAUAUUUUGCGUUUUGAAGUUCAAAGUUGGGUUUUGAUUGCAUACCAAUUGUUGCAUGAUAUAUUUUGCCAUAUUGGCAAGAUAUUGUGCCAAUGAGUACCUAUCUUUUAAAAUUGGUACAAGUUAAAUGUAGAGUUAUCUUGAAAAUAUUUGUAGUACUUUAAAGAGUCUUGAAUAUACCCAUAAUUUGGCUGUUUAAUUCCUGUUUGAACUGUCUUUGGCUGAAUGCAGGCGCCAUGACCACCUCUCAAAUACGUUUUUCUAUUUGUGUAAGCCUUUUCACUUUUUCUGAAAUCAAAUUUCUUUCUAUGUAAUUUGCAUGUUAGGUGGAAGACUUGGUCUCUGAAAAAUUUCUGUUUUUCGAUUGUGUUUCUUGCUGGAAUUUGAAUGCCGAUAUGGUUAUUCGUAGGCAUUUUUUUGGUAUUUAUAGGAUACUGAUUGUAUUAUGCAUUGCAUGGUAGGUGGGAGGUAAUAUUUGGGUGUUUUGUUACCGGGUGUUUCCAUCAAUGGGGAUAAGAUACAGGAAAACUGGACGUUUCAAAUUUUGACCGAACUUAUCUACUAGAGGGAAAACUGGAUAUGAUCAUGACCAGGUGUUUGACUAAACACAUCUUUUUUGUAAUAAUGCUUUUACAUGUUUUUAACUGCACUUUUUUAAUUUCCUAUCAUUUUGAUGUUUUUUUUUUUGUUGUAUUUUAAUAGCAAAGGAUAAGCAUGAUGUUGCUUGGUUUUGGCUGGAGAAAGGGAAGCCACAUGAAUGCGCAGUUUGCACACAAUAGUUUGUGGUAAGUGGAGGCUUGAACUUGAUGUGAUAGAAUUUUUUUUGUUUUUUUCCAGCUCCCUAAGACUUUUAUGUUAUUAUUUGGAUUAUGAUCUAAUGGCAAGUGGUUGGAACUAUUGGUAGUGUUUUGAAGGAACAAGAAGACACAUAAUAGAACUUGAAUGGGAAGAAGAAAGAAGAAAGCCAGCUUUUCAACUGAUAAACUAAAAUCAAUCCCCUCAAUCUCCUCAUCGGCGGUGGUGGCGACGACUACCAGGUUCACUUUUUUUAAUUUCAUUUUAAUUUUUGCUCUUUUUAGUUGAUUUAAAAAAUGAAAAAUCUGUUAGGUUUUUUGGCUCGUCAAAGUGGGAGAGAGGAGCAUGCGAUUUCAUGCAGGAUUGCCUGAUAGUUUUUGGGCAGAGGUUGUUAAUCAUGCAAGUUAUUUGAUUAACAUAUCACCAUCUACAAUUCUCGGUUUUAAGAGUGCAUAAGAGGUAUGGUCUGAGAAGCUAGUGGACUAUUCCAAGCUCAGGGUGUUCGGCUGUAGUGCUUAUGCACAUAUUCCAAGUGAUGAAUGGUCCAAGCUCAAACUGAAGUCUACACAUUGCAUAUUCUUAGGUUUUAAGAAAGAAGUUAAGGGUUUUAGGCUUUGGGAUAUCAACAACAGGAAAAAGGUUGUCUGCCGAUGUUGUCUUUGAUGAGACAACCAUGCCUCUUAAUAAAGUCGAGAGUAGUAGGGAGAAGAAUGAUGAUGCUGAAAUUGAAGCAACAAAGAUUCUGUUAAUCAGUUCAAAUGAAGAAGAAGCUCAGGUGGAGCAAAUCGAGCAAGAGGCCGAAUCUGAUGGUUUUGAGGAAGAAAAAGAGCAUCAACAUUGUUCACCAGUUAGGAAUCAGGUGGAGUAAGAAACAUGGCAUAUUGAAGGCACUCUAAUCCGCCAGACAUCCCAAAAGGUUCGAACUCCAACCAACAAUCCACUUGCAUUCUAGAGAUGCAUAGCACUAGACAAACCUAAUCGAAACAAGAAGAAACCGGACAGGUUUGGGUUUGACCAAGACAAAGUUAAUUAUGCUCUUAACAUUAGUCAAGGAGAUCCGACAACUUAUUGAGAAGCUAUAGCAAGUGAUGAGCGAGAUAGUUGGAUAAGUGCUAUGACAUAAGAAAUGGAGUCUCUUUACAAGAACUUUGUUUGGGAAUUGGUUCCUAAGCCCAAAGACAGAAAGCUAGUUGGAUGCAAGUGGGUAUUUAGGAAAAAUGAAGGACUGCAUGAACAAGAUGACGUGAGAUUCAAAGCAAGGCUCGUGGCUAAGUGGGUACUCACAAAAGGAAGGGGUGGAUUAUGAUGAGAUCUUUUCACCUGCAGUCAAGCAUACUUCUAUCAAAUUGCUUUUAGCAAUGACAGCUCAACAUGACAUGAAGAUUGAGCAAAUGGAUGUGAAGACAACGUUUCUUCAUGGGGAUCUAGAGGAGACGAUUUUCAUGGCUCAACCAGAAGGGUUUGUUGAAUUUGGGAAAGAUAACCUAGUAUGUCAGUUAAGGAAGUCCUUGUAUGGCCUGAAACAGUUUCCAAGGCAGUGGUACAAGAGGUUUGAUUCCUUCAUGCUGAAAAUCAAUUUUAGAAGAUGUUUAUAUGACUGUUGCAUUUACUAUCAUGUGUUCCAAGAUGGGAUGAUCAUAUUGCUAUUGCUAUAUGUGGAUGACAUGCUAAUUACUUGUUAAGACAAGUCUAGAAUUCAAGACUUGAAUAAGAUGUUGAGUGAGGAGUUUGACAUGAAGGAUCUAGGUGCUACGCAAAAGAUCCUUGGCAUGGAAAUUCAGAAAGAUAGGAUCGCUGGAAGGAUCUGGAUAUCACAAGCCAAGUAUAUUCAUAAGGUUCUUGAGAAGUUCAACAUGUAAGAAGCAAAGGUAGUUUCAACUCUUUUGGCGACUCACUUCAGGUUAAGUGGGCAACAGUGUCCUAAGUCCGAGGAAAAGCAACAAGUAAUAGAGAAGGUGCCUUACGCUAAUGUCGUGGGCUGCCUUAUGUAUGCAAUGGUAUGUAAAGGUCCCGACAUAGCUCAAGCAAUCAGUAUCGUUUCCAGAUACAUGGGAGAUCCAGGAAAGUAACAAUGGGAUGCAGUCAAGUGGAUUUUGCGUUAUUUGAAGGGUUCUUGGAGACGAAAUAUUAUGUUUGAAAAGCAAAAAGAAGAUGUAAGGGUGUUAGGAUAUGUGGAUGCCGAUUAUGCAGGGGACUUCGACAAGAUAAGGUCAACUUCUGGUUAUGUGUUUACAUGCGCAAGAGGACCAAUUAGUUGCAGGGCAUUACUGCAACCAGUUACAGCUUUGUCGACCACAGAGGCAAAGUAUAUUGCAUUGGCUGAUGUUGGAAAUGAAGCAAUUUGGCUUAGUGGCUUGGUAAGUCAAAUGGGAAUCACUCAAGAUUGUUUGAAGCUGAAGUGUAAUAGUCAAAGUGCCAUUCACUUGGCAAAGAAUCAGGUUUUAUUCUAGAAGAUCAAAGCACAUUGAAGCAAGGUAUCACAAAAUCAGAGAUUGGGUGGAGUCUAAGGAGAUUUGGAUUGAAAAGAUUCAUACGGAUGGCAAUGCUGCAGAUUUCCUUACAAAGAUAGCGCAGGCCAAGAAGUUCAAGCAUUGCUUGAACUUGAUCAAUCUCGUUGAUUGAUUAAAGUGGAGCACCUCCUUACUUGAGGUGCAAUGAGGCAAGAAAAAGAUUGCCAAGGUGAAGACUCUUGAAGAUUUCUAGAGCUGCUUCAAGAAGGUUCAAAGAUACUCUGAGGUGCAACGAUCAAGACUUGGUUUGACCCACCAAGGUGGAGAUUGUUAGGUUUUUUGGCUCGUCAAAGUGUCCUAGUUGGUUUAGGAUUGUUUUAGGGAAAAUUAGAGGUAUACCGAUUCUUGUCCUAGAGGGUUUAGGAAAGAAUUUCAAUUUUACUUAUUCAAUUUAGGUUUGAAUUUCUAGAAGUCUAUUUGGAUUUGGAUAAGUGUAUUUUCCUAAUCCAUUUAGAAUAGGAAUUCAAUUAGCCUUGGGACAUGUAAGCCGAACCUAUGCCUAUAAAUAGGUUGCGGCAAGACAUAAAUCUGUGAGAGAAAAAACUAUGACAGCCGAGACAAGAGAAAGAGAGAUUAGUUCUAGGGUGUUGCAAAAGUUUUGUAAUUCUCUAUUAUUAAUCAAAGGAGUGGUGAUUUCUCUACCUAGAGAUCAAAACUGGACGUAGGCAAAAGUUCUGCCAAACCAGUAUAAGUCUUGUGUGUUUCUAAGUUUUCUAUAUUUGCUAGUUUAGUCAUUGUAGUUGGUUACAUUAAAGAACAAGGUCUAGUGUGUGGUUUUUUCAACAAAAUCUAAAAACAUUAAGCACUCCAAACGGUUGAGCAAAUUAAAAUUGAAAAUUGUGCCUAUUUGAGAGAGUUAAUUAGUGAAGAAUGCUUACUUUUGUUACCUAAAUGUGUUUAUAAAGAAUAUAAUGUAACAUAUAGUAUUAACAACAAGCCUAUCACAACAUCCCACAAUCUGUCAUAAUCUCUAUAUCUCUGUUUACCCUUUUUUUCCUGAUAUCAUGUGUCCUGCAAAACUUAAUUUUUGGUGCAGAUUAAUUAAAAAUCAUGCUAUGGAUAUACAUGGGAAAUUGCCAAACAAGUUUCCAUCUAUCCCAGGUAUUUUUGUUUCUCCCUGUUUAUGUGGUUUUUUUUUAUUAUUAUUGUUUUUUUUUUAUAGUUAGUUUGUUUACUCUGCUCUGGCUUUAAAGAAAGGAUUCCAAAUUUACACUGCUCGGUAAUCUAUAAACAUUGAAAACAAUAGAAGGUUAGCUGGUGAGAUUAAAUGGUUAGCAUGAUUUGCUCUCCCUUCUAAUUACAUGCAAUCAGCUUUUCUAAAUUGACUUUCAUCUCAUGAGAUACCUUUUCAAUUCCAUUCCAUACACUGAAAAUGAAUCUGAGAGCAAGAAUCGAAAACAUCAAUGCUAAUUUUUGGUCAAUACUAUGAACUAUACAUUCUUCAAAUUACACUUUAUAGUAGUUACUCUCUUUAAAGCUGAAUUUUCCGACGAAAACAAUAUAAAUUAGAAUAUAAUAGACUUUUGGCCAGCAAGAUUAACUUGCAAAUAUAAUUGGAUCUGUUUUCAUUGCUCAAACAAAGUCACACAGUUUGUAGCAAGCUAAAAUUCGUAAGCAUGCUUUUGAUUUCCUAACUGUAGAAAAAACACUCCUAUUAUAUUCUAAUUUAUAUGUUCCUGACUGAAAAUUCAACUUUAAAAUAGUCGAUUUCGUUCACCUUCAUCCUAACAAUUCUCUCAUACUUUUGAUCCGAAUUAAGAAUGAAAUGAAAUUGACUGAAAACUGAAAUAUGGACUACAACUUUUCCUUGCGUAUUAGACCAAUUUGGUUUGAGCAUGAUUGAGUUGAUGGUUUGCGUAUGAAUGAUUUUGAUAAUCUGGAUUCAUAUGCGAUUUAAGGUUUAAACUUAUUUGUUAUUAUCAUCUGUAGUUCCAACCAUACAUAUUUUGUUUUUCAUUUUUAAUAAAACUAUCACUUAUAUUAUCAACUUUUUUUUUUUAAUUUGUAACCUAGAAAUAAAAACGCUUGCACACAAAAAAAAAAAAAAAAGAGAGGAAGUUUUGAAAUGCAAUGAAGACUUGCGAUUAUUUUUGCUACAUAUAUAGAAAUGAGCAACCAUAGAGUGGGAUCACAUACUUUGUACAACUAAUAUUUGAAAAGUUGAUUGGUCAACCAAUAUGUUGUAUAAAGGUUGGUAAAAUAUUUUGGACAAUAAGCAGUUAAUGAUGUAGAUCAGAAAACUUAGAUGACAUUUGAACCUAUUAUUUUGGUUACAACAUACCAAAAUCAUGCCCCUUUUGUUUAAAUGGUAUGCGUGAUGGUAUGCGUGCCCAGAAGUAUUUAAGAUUUCCUUCGUUUACUCAAACAUUUAUAUUUUGAGAUUUCCAAAUAUACUGGAUGAAUUUUAGAUUUUGAUAAAGAUGUAAAUAAACUUUAAUAUAUUUCAUGUUUAACAGAAUUUUGAAACCCGCGGCAUUGUGGUUUCUCUUCAGGGUUUUUAAUUUUAUGUUUUCUGAUUGAAUUUGGCAUCAAUUUAUCCAAUGGAUUAGAGAGUAAUCAUAGGGCCAAAACUGAGUUGAGAAUGAAUUGGAUUACAACUACUAAGAGGGAUAGUUGUUGUAUGCAAGUUUUUGAGAAAAUGGUAUUGAGAAUCUGAUAAUUUGGGAGAUGCAAGUUUUUGAAAAAUUGGUAUUGAGAAUCUGAUAAUUUGGGAGUGAGUGAUCAUAGGACCAAAACAAAUCGGAAUUGUUAUUUUUGACAGCGCUUCUUUAUUUCAACUUUAGGUCUUUCCUAGCUUAGAAUAUUUCUUAAGAACCAGAAUGUAUUUUUCGUUUUUAGAAUAUUGUCAUUUAGCUUGCUGAAAAUAUUUAGGGACCUAAGUUUAUAUGGUGCUCUCAUCUCUGUGAUGUAGAGCUGAUCAAAUUUUAUGACUAAUUAAACUAUUGUUUACUUGUAAAGAUGUCAUUAACUUUCAAUUGGCUUUUGCAGUAUGUUUGGGACCAAGCUGAAUUUGAUAUCAUUAAGCUCAAGACAAUAAUUAGUCCAUUUCCAUCUCAAAAAGCAGCGGAUGACUAUUAAACCACCAUGCAUCAGGUAAUCUUCACACUCAGAUUGCAUUCAAUUCCUAUGUAGACCAAAAGAACCUACAAUAGAUCAUUACUAACUCGGGGUAGAUUGAAAAGAGUUUAGGUCUGGCAAGCUUCUACGGUUUAGGGAAGAAUACCAAGAUUUACAUUUUGUUUAACUCCCAGUAUAAACAUGUGCAUUUUGUUAAUAGUAUUGAAAACUAUUGUAUAAAACAUUUUCCAGGGGGUUUUGUUGAUUAUAUAACUGUGAAUUUUAGGCAUUCAGAUAGUUUUGGAGGUUCUGCGAUUUAUGGUACCGUGCAUCAUAUAAGGCUAAGAAGUCACCAUUACAUCUCUUAUCUAAGAGCCAGUAUUUAAGUUGGUGAGUAAGCAAUAAAAUGAGUGUUGUGCAAGUUAAUUAAGUUAUGCAUAUUGAUUUUAAGAGUAUAUUUUAAUUUUUUUUCUUCAGAGUAUUACAGUUACGUAUAAGUACACCAAUUAUACUUCUUCGAAGAAUACAUCAGUUCAUAUAGUAGCAGAAUGAUUGCGAACAUUGAAAAAUCUCAAGUAACUUAAAUGAUCAUGCUAGAUACCAAACUUUUUUAAUCUUUGCUUACAAAGUGUUGAUGACUAGGUAGUGAUUUCUAUUGAGCACCAGUUAUUUGCACCUCUUUUCCCUCCUUCCAUAAUUGAAGUGCUUUUGACUCUAUGUAGUAAUGAUUUAGAUGAUAAAAUUGUUGAAGUUUUUUCUUCCAUUGUGUUUCCUUUUUCAAAAAUUAAGAUAGAAAGGGAAUACUAUGAUAAUUGGAGGUUUUCGUUUUGAUAUUCAUAUGUGUGCUUUAGCGGGUAUAAAAAAGGAGAUUUUGUUUGUAGAUAUAGUCAUUAGUAAUGCUUUUAUGGUUUUCUUUAAUGUCGAGAAAAUUGAGAUUCCUUUUAAAUGACUUUAUUGCUCAUAUGGUUAAGAAGUACUUACAGGAACUUCGCUUAAAUGACUUUAUUGCUCAUAUGGUUAAGAAGUACUUACAGGAACUUUGCUUUCGUUAUCAGACACUAGAAGAAUAGUGCAAGUGAAUGAACUUAUGAGGGCUGACUUAUAGAUGGAUGACUUCCUAAUCUGAAUGACUACCAUGUUUAGUGUUAUUGUCGAUUCUUCAUUAAUCCAUUCAUGGUAAUUGAAUGAACAAUUGUCCAUUUUACUGUUCAGGUUUGUCAAAAACUUGCUCAAAGAGCAGACUGUCAGUGUGAUUUGAGCUAGUUGUAAAUAGUAUCAUCUCUUUGUAAAUAACACUUUAAAGUCAUCUCUCUCAUUGUAAACAUAUUAUAUGUAAAAUAAUAUCAUUUUAAACGGUCAUAAAACCCGCGGCAUUGCGCGGGGGCUCAAUUGCUAGUUGGUACUACUAUAUAUAUAUAACACUUUAAAAUAAUCUUUCUCAGUGUAAACAUAUUAUAUGUGAAAUAAUAUCAUUUUAAACAGUCAUAAAACCCGCGGCAUCACGCGGGGGCACAAUUGCUAGUUGGUACUAUAUAUAUAUAUAUAUAUAUAUAUAUAUAUAUAUAUAUAUAUAUAUAUAUAUAUAUCCUUCCCUAAUGAAAGAGUCCACCUGCUGACAUAGAUUAAGCAGCUACUAGUUCCCCCAUCUUGUCAAAGAAUCAAAUACUUCGUUCUCAUCGAUUGGGACGAACCCUUCCUGUGGUAUAUCCGCCGCUCCUAAGUGCGCUUUCCCUGUAGUAGUAGUCUCCCAACUCUGGACAAACAGUAUCCUGUCAUCGUCAUCUGCGAGUCCCUAGGAGCAAAGGUUCCCUCCCAUCUUGUGAUUAUGCCAUUCAUCCCCGGGGGAACAAGCAAGCGAAACUAGGGACAAACAGUAUCCUGUCAUCGUCUCAUACUAACACUAAAUAUACACUAUCUGAAAGUAUGUCGUUUUUGUGUUUUCCAUACUUAACCCUAAUCAUCCAAAUUCUUAUCAAGUAUAAACUUAUAGCAACCACCCAAUAAGGUUUAAAUGUAAAAUUUGAAAGUUUACUUGUUUAGAAUAGAGAAAGUGAGAAGAGACAGAAGGAAUAACUGUUGGAAAAUUUAAUAAUAUUAUUAUUAUUAUAUUAAAUUUAUUAAUUGAUAUAUAAUUGCAUGAAUUAUUUUUUGAUUUUCUAUGUGAUUUAAUAUAGCAAUUAGAUCGUAUUUUUUCUAUAAUCUUAAGACUUGGCGAGAUAGAAUUUUGCAUGUUCUUCCUUUAGUCUAAUAUCGUUUUGCAUAUUGAUUACAAUGGUGAUGGAUGUACGUCGCAUAUUAAUUAAUUGACUGUUCAAGACAUUAUGUAUUGAAUUUGCAUGAAUCAUGAUUAAUGAUUAUGAUAUUAAUCUCGGUGCAUGCUGACAAAUUAAUUAUUUAGUUGUCUCUUUGUCUGGCAAACCAAUUUCAGAUAUUAUAUCAUGUGGCAAGUUUAAUUUGUCACUGAAAUUUGCAUAGUUUCUUUUGCCUGCUUAUUGCUGUGUGUUUUUCCUUACUAGUCUCGCAACUGGUUUGUGUGUUUUAUAGAUGAUUGAUAUACGUAUGUGUCAAUGCAUUAUUAGAUACUUUAAACUCAGGUUAUGCACAUUAGCUGUACACAAUUUCUAUGACCGAAAUGACCGUUUGAGGAACCACUGAAACCAUGCACAUUGGUUGUUUUGUGGUAACUUACAACAUAUAUGUUAAUUUAUAUUAUGUUUCAGUGAACAUACUGGAUCAUGGUUUCUUAACCAUUGUGGCUUUUGAAAAAUGGUUUCUUAUUGGAAAUCAACGAGGCUAGGAUUGAGCUUUAGUGCUUAAUAUCCUCAUGUUGUAGUAUAGUUAGUUUACACACACAUUGAAAAGAUAUGUCUGCUAAAGCCACGUGAACACCAGGUGUAAUGAAUUCAUACCAGUUCGUGAAAGAGUUCCUUUUACAGAAAGGAGAUGUGCCGAAUUGAGAACGGUUGGCUGAUUUAAUGGUUGAGGAUGGUUGGGUAUUGGUAUUCCUUCUACCCGUUAUAAGUAACACUAGCAGACACAUGAGGUUUUGAACAGAUGUGUAUUAUGUAUAUGGGUUGCUGAAACAAUGCGAUUCAUAUAGGGUAGUGUCUGUUCAAAUUGAACAAACGUCUCUUCCAAGAAAGCACUCCAAAGUGUAUAGUCUAGACCAUUAUUAUGUUAUGGGUGAAAUUACAAGUUUGGUUCUCAUUUCAAGAAGCGAAUUAUCCAGACCUGGUAUCACGUUGUGAUAAAUAUCUGGGACAAGGAUUCUUUCUCCUCCUCUUUCCAUUCUCUUCCAUCCCUUCCUCUCACACUCUCUAUUUUGUUUUUCUCUUUCUAUAAAAAAAUUAAUAUAAAAUGUUGACGUAGCUUAACCGUGACCGUUCACAUAGGAGGGAAGGGAAGGGGAGGGGAAAAAAUGAGAGAGAAUCCUACUCCAAAUUUAUGACUAUGGUUCUUGUUUAAUUUCAAGAAACAAAAGGUUUGGAUAGUUGAAAGUAAAAGGACUGCCAAGAGAAGUGCUUCUCGUAGAAAGGACUUAUGAGGCUUGAAAGAGACAACACCUUCAUUGGUAACUACUUCUUAAGUAUGAUGAAUGAGUAAUUGAUAGCAUAAAAAGCAACCACAAUGUGAGGGAAUUGUGGGGGUGGCUUAGCUAUUUUUGAGAAAUGGAAUAUACUUAAAAAGAAUGUAAAAGUAAUUUGCUUCUAGAAAGAGAUGACGAGUAUUUCUUAUAACUGAAGUUUUAAGUUAUUGAAUGGUUUGAGAUCUUCUAGCAAAUACCUUAAAUGUGGAGGAGUUUACUCAAGUGUUAGCAAAUUACUUAUCAAGUCCGAACGCAUGUUUGGAGGAAUUAAAAACAACUACUCUUGAAUAAAAUAUAAUUUUAUAAAUGGAAGUGCGCACCAUAAGUGAUAGUCAUCAACCUAGUGGAUCCAAUUAAUUAAAGGUUUGAUUAGAGAGUAAGUUGUAUCAUCAAGGGGAAUGGGUUAAAAACCUAUGUCUUAAGAAUUGCCAUAAUGGCAACCCAACCUAGCUGACUGGAGAUCUUAAGAUCUAGGUUAAAGGGACAAUAGAAUUGUGGAUGAUUCAAUGGGAGCACUGCGGAGAUAAUCUCCUACCCAUGUCUUAUGAUGAAACAGUGUUAUCUGCAGUGUGUUUAUGAUAAGCUUUGCUCUUAAUGAUUCAUAUACUUGGAAAUAACAAGUGGGGUAUUGCAAGAUACUCUUAAUGGGAAGUCAUCUAUCUUGAGUGAGGAAUGAGGCCGUUCUUUUGAGAAUUUUCUGAAGGGUUUAAUUCUGUAAAAGAACUCAUAAGAAACCGAGAAUUGUUCAGGGCCAAAAUGAACACAACUGAGCAACCAAAGGGUGUCUGGAAGGGUAUUGUGUGAUUACUAUUGUCUUGGUUUACACAAAUGGCUAAGCAAUUUAAGACAUUGCGUUCACUGAUUAACCAAGUAAAUCUGAUAGUAAUUCACUACGAAAGGUUUAAAGUCAAAAGCUACCUAUCCUGAUGCGGUACUUUUUCUACUAAGUUCUCUCUCUAGUGUCUGCAUUGUCAUUUACAUAGUGUUGAGUCAAUUUCCAUUCAUGCGCGGGAUUGUUGGAAAAUUUAAUAAUAGUACUAUUAUAUUAAAUUUAUUAAUUGAAUGAAAAUUAGAAGUGAAGCUUUUCGGUAGAAAGAUGUGUUUACUCAAAUGAAGAGUUGCAACUUUUGACUCGUCAUGAAUAAUCACAUGUUUUCCAAAGAGGUACCUCAAAAUCUAUAAAUAGGAAGCCCCUAUAAACAUAAAAUAACUAUUCAUUGUUUUACAUAACAUAUAGUGCACUAAAUAUUAGAGAGUCUCAUUGAGUCCAUAUAAGAGUAUUCAACACAAUUGUGGUUAAUGGAGCCUUAUGAUUUGGAAUGCUACUAUUACAAAGAUGUGGUCAUUGUAUCUUGGGAGACAAGCGCUGAUCAACCAUGAGCACCAUAAUGAGACUUAAACUUGUCUUAAGGACAAAGUGUCUAACACUUGCCUCGACCGUAUUUUCAGGUUUUUCUAAUCCAUUAUAUCAUGUUCAUUUAACAUUGGUUACUCAUGUGUAUGCAUUAUUUUGAUAUAUAAUUGCAUGAAUUAUUUCUUGAUUUUCUAUGAUUUAAUAUAGCAAUUAUAUCCUAAUUUUUCCAACAAUAACUAGUGCUACCUAAUCAAUCCAAUAUCUAAUCAUAAUAGUUUUGGUACCUAUAUGUAACAUAUCCAUUCCAUGUACAUGCCAUUAAAGUGAACUCCAUAUCGUGCAAUCUGCAAUCAUCAACUAACUAUGCGUGUGUACUAAUUAAAUUUAGAUGUUUAUGCACGUAGGAGGAUUCAAACCUACUAAGACAUAUGAAUUUACAGUUUAGCCCAUAAUUACCCGUUUACGUACCAUUAGAGCAUUCACCGAUGUAGUUUAGCUCCAUUCAAUUUUUGUUGUUAUUAAGAUAUGGAUCAGAACCCUUGACAUGUUGUGGUCCUAACCCAUCUUCGAAACGUUCCUCACCAUUGGGAUUAACUUUGCUUAUGAAGAAUGAGUAUCAUUCUUCUUUACGUGUUUACUAACAACAAAAUGAAUUAAAAGGUAUGUAAACAAAACAUCCCUUGGAUUAUUUUGGGUGAAAUGGGAGGAGAGGCCCAAACAACAAUCACCCCAAAAUCUGGGUCUGGCUAACAACAGGAAAAGGAGUGUCCAACCAAGUGCAAGCCCAACUCCAAGUAAAACCUGUCCAACAGUUAAUGUAGUUUCUGCUUCUUCUUCUCAGUUAAUCUGUAUGUUUUUGGAAAUGCAAUGCGCCAUGGAAGGCCUUUCCUGGUCAAAGACCACCGCCACCACGGCGCUUCCCAGCUGGGAGACAUACUCCUGGUGGCCGCCAUCACCAAGACCCUCUCCACCUCCGGCACUGGCAACCUCCCGGACCCCCACACUCUCCCGCUCUCCGAGCCCCUCCUCUUCCAAAUCCUCCGCGCCCAGUCCCUCCGCCCCUCCAAAAAAAUCGACUUCUUCAAAUGGUGCUCUCUCACGCAUAACAUCAAACAUUCGGCGCGCACCUACUCCCACAUCCUCCGCACCGCCUCCCGCGCCGGAUUCCUCCACGAGGUCCCUCAAUUGCUUCACUCCAUGAAGGUGGACGGCUUCGUGGUCGAUUCCCAGACCUUCAAAUCCCUGCUCGACGCGUUUAUCCGGUCCGGUAAGUUCGAUUUUGCGCUUGAAAUUUUGGAUAUUAUGGAAGAUGUUGGUGCUGGGUUGAACACCGAUAUGUAUAACUCGGUUCUUGUUGCUCUGGUUAGGAAAAACCAGGUGGGUUUGGCCAUGGCCAUUUUGCUUAAGCUUCUGAAGGGAGGGGAUUCGACCCAGGUGCCGAAUUCGAUUGCCUGCAAUGAGUUGCUGGUUGCUCUUAGAAAAUCUGACCUGAGGAUUGAGUUGAAGCAAGUUUUUGAUAAGCUUAGAGAGAGUGAGGGGUUUGAGAUGGAUACUUGGGGGUAUAAUAUUUGCAUUCAUGCAUUUGGAUGUUGGGGUGAUUUGGGUACUAGUCUGAGUCUGUUCAGAGAGAUGAAUGACUCUUACUUGGAUUACGUCGGGCCGGAUUUGUCUACAUAUAAUAGCCUCAUUCAUGUGCUCUGCUUGGUGGGGAAGGUGAAUGAUGCACUUACUGUAUGGGAGGAAUUGAAGGGCUCCGGCCAUAAGCCAGACGCAAUUACCUAUAGAAUUCUUAUUCAGGGGUGUUGUGAGUGUUAUCGAAUAGACGAUGCCACUAAGAUUUUUAGUGAAAUGCAGCUCAAUGGAUAUAUCCCGGAUACCAUUGUUUAUAACUUUCUGCUAGAUGGGUUAUUCAAGGCUGGGAAGGUUAAUGAUGGCUGCCAGUUAUUUGAGAAAAUGGUUCAGAAUGGGGUGGGAGCCUCGAUGCAGACGUAUAAUAUUCUCAUGGAUGGUUUGUUCAGGAAUGGAAGGGCAGAGGCUGCGUACACACUAUUUUGUGACUUAAAGAAGAAGGGUCAGUUUGUCGAUGGUGUAACAUAUAGCAUUGUGGUUUUGCAACUUUGUAAGGAGAGUUUGCUUGAGGAAGCACUAGAAUUGGUGGAAGAAAUGGAAAGGAGAGGCUUUACUGUUGAUUUAGUUACUAUUUCGUCACUUGUGAUUAGGCUGUAUAAAGAAGGUCAGUGGGAUUGGACGGACAAGCUCAUGAAGAACAAUAGAGAUGAUAACCUAGUGCCGAGUGUUCUUAAAUGGAAGGUUGAUAUGGAGGCUUCGCUGAAAAAUCCACAGAGAAAUAGAAGGGAUUAUCCAUCAUUGUUCCCAAGUAAAGGCGACUUGAGUGAGAUUAUGAGAAAGUCUGCUGAAUCAACAGUGGAUGGAAACCUAGAUUCAGAGGCUGCGAGGGUUUAGGAAGAUAAUAAGAAUUUGUCCAAUUAUACUGAUCGGUGGUCAUCAUCUCCACAUAUGGAUCAAUUGGCUAAUCAACUUAAGUCCACCGACCACUCCUCACAGCUGUUUGCGUUGCCCAGGGGGCAAAGAGUUCAAGCGAAAGGGGAAAGCACUUUUGAUAUUGACAAGGUUAAUACAUUUUUGUCCUUAUUCUUGGCCAAGGGAAUGCUGAGCAUAGCAUGCAAAUUGUUUGAGAUUUUCAGUGAACUUGGUGAAAACCCCGUGAGUUAUACUUAUAAUUCGAUGAUGAGUUCGUUCGUCAAGAAGCACUACUUCAAUGAGGCAUGGGGUGUACUCAAUGAAAUGGGAGAAAAGGUUUGCCCCACAGACAUAGCUACAUACAAUGUGAUAAUUCAAGGCUUGGGGAAGAUGGGUAGAGCGGAUCUGGCUAGUUCUGUCCUGGAUAAGCUAAUUAAGCAGGGUGGUUAUCUUGAAGUGGUUAUGUACAACACCUUGAUUAAUGCACUAGGGAAGGCAGCAGGAUUGAUGAAGUAAACAAGCUCUUUGAGCAGAUGAAGAGUAGUGGAAUAAAUGCUGAUGUUGUCACUUUUAAUACACUUAUUGAAGUUCAUAGCAAAGCAGGUCGGCUACCCCGAACCAUGUUAUUGACACGACUUUAGAUUUUCUGGGCAAGGAGAUUGAGAAAAUGAGGUACCAGAAGGCAUCCAUGGUGCGCAAUAAGGAUGACUGACCUUGAUAAGAAUUGUACACUUCAAUUCAACUGUAGUUCAACCUGCUAUGACUUUUGGCUCAUAAAUGUUAAAUGAAAAUUUGAAGGCUAAAAGUGUAGUCGUGUGUUGAGGUGCCUUUUCGACCUAUAAUCAUGUCAUGCUC